AGGGUAUUUGCUGGCAGGGGUGCUGUUAUUAUCAAAGCUGUGGCUCUGACCCACACUCCAUUAAAAAUCAUCAUCAUCUGAAAUACCAACUUCUGCCUGUCUUUGCAGGUAUUUUCAGUCUGCAAGGGAAAACCCACGCAACAUUUAAGUGAUGUAUGUGCACAUCUUUGGUCUCUCUAGUGCAAGGCACAAGAGCAUCUCACUACAAUUUGAUGCAAGACCACUCGAGCCCCAGUGACCAUCUAAGUGUGUGCUUGCAAAAGAAACACCAGAGACCAAUCUGUUCAUGAACCAGCCACACGAUUUUCAGGCUGGCAGAUAAACUUGAAACCAGCUUGCACAAGCCUGAAUCCUGCAGGGAACAGUAAGGAGCAAUGUCAGCUUCAGGAUCUGAGCAAGGUAUCCUGCUUCACGACUUUGAGGAUUUCUCCUGGCUGACCUUCACAUCCAUCCUGCCCCUCUGCCCCUGGUGACUGGGGGAGAAGAAAACUGCAGUACUGGGGCUGAACACACCUGGCAUUGGCAGCAGGGCACUUCCACAGCCAGGGAGUACCCAGAAGAGCUCGCUGUUCAUCUCUCAGACUUUGGUUUCACUUCUCUGCCUUGCAGCUCUGCACAAACAGCUGGGAAGUGCAUCAGCUCUCCAGUUCUUAUCUGCCCUCUCUCACACUUGGAAAUGCAGCAGCCUUUCCCAAGCCAAAAUGCAAAAUGCUGGUGAGGAACAAGGAUUUAUCUGCUCUAUCACAGCAGGUAUAGAACAAGAGUGACAUGAAGGCAGGUUAUAUGCCUGGUCCCACUGCUCCCAGCUCCUCUACACCAGGCAAGACAUUUCUGUUUUUACAAAAGGCAAGCUGGGAAGUCAGCCUGUGAGUGAUUCUGUCUUUCCCCCACCACAAAGCUGGUAAAAAGGCACACUGUGAAAAGGAAAUCUGUUAUUGUUGUUGUUUGUUUUGGGGGUUUUUGUUUGGGGUUUUUUUUUGUUUUGUUUUUUUAAAGGGAGCCAUUUAACAUACAGUCAACUCCUAUGACAAAAUAAAGUUGUUAUGAGAAAAAUUACA
rnacentral:lncRNA from 1 species